rnacentral:tRNA from 1 species
UGGGGCGUCGCCAAGUGGUAAGGCACCGGAUUUUGAUUCCGGCAUUCGAAGGUUCGAAUCCUUCCGCCCCAGCCA